rnacentral:ncRNA from 2 species
CUAGGGUCAGCGGGCCUUGGUGUUCGGGAAACCGGUGGAAAACCGGUGCGGCCCUCGCCACUGUGAUCGGGAAGUCCGGCUCCACUCCCCUGCGGGAAGCCACUGGGCCCGCGCGGGAGACCGCACGGCCCCGGGAAGGCGGAGUCAGGGCAUCAGUACCCGUGAGCCAGGAGACCGGCCAGGGCACGUCGUCCAUC